rnacentral:rRNA from 1 species
GAUGAACGCUGGCGGCGUGCCUAAUACAUGCAAGUCGAGCGAACAGAUGAGGAGCUUGCUCCUCUGACGUUAGCGGCGGACGGGUGAGUAACACGUGGAUAACCUACCUAUAAGACUGGGAUAACUUCGGGGAACCGGAGCUAAUACCGGAUAAUAUAUUGAACCGCAUGGUUCAAUAGUGAAAGACGGUUUUGCUGUCACUUAUAGAUGGAUCCGCGCCGCAUUAGCUAGUUGGUAAGGUAACGGCUUACCAAGGCAACGAUGCGUAGCCGACCUGAGAGGGUGAUCGGCCACACUGGAACUGAGACACGGUCCAGACUCCUACGGGAGGCAGCAGUAGGGAAUCUUCCGCAAUGGGCGAAAGCCUGACGGAGCAACGCCGCGUGAGCGAUGAAGGUCUUCGGAUCGUAAAACUCUGUUAUUAGGGAAGAACAAAUGUGUAAGUAACUAUGCACGUCUUGACGGUACCUAAUCAGAAAGCCACGGCUAACUACGUG